CGUGGGCCCCUUUCCCCAAGCCAGCAGCUGCUCUUACAUAACGACUCACUGCUGCUCAGCGAGUCGUAAACACAGAAGUUUAGCCCGCUCAACUGUUCUCCCAGCAUGGACCCUACACCAGUUCCUCUCGACAACGACGAGGAGCGUCCCGUCAGGGGCGUCCUGCCCUUCUCAACAUUUAAGUUACUGGAUGACGGUUCCCUGCCGUCGAUUUCACUUUGCUCCUGUUCUAAAAGAUGUAGCCGAAGUUCACGGCGCACUAGCUGCGGCUUGCGGACGCUCGUUGACAACACAAGACUACACUCAGCGGCCACUUAAGGCAGACUCCUUGGCUUCUAUCCAGCCCUAUCACCCGUCUGGAGGCAGAGAUGGGAUGGAGACCAAGGCCUGGGGGAGGUGAUCUACGC